UAUCAAAGAAAUAUUGUUUUUUUAUGGCGAAUAUGGAUUUCUAUCUUGUUAUUUACUUUAUAUAUUACCGAUAAAGAUAUGGACGUUUAGGAUGUGAAAAAAUAUACACUAUAUCGGCGCAAAUUUGUGGUAUCUAAUAAGGGUUUCACUGAGGAAGAAAGACAACUUCAACAGAAUAUUCGCAAAUUACAAAACCAACUCGAAGCUAAAGAACAGGAACAUCGUCAAAAGGAAUGGAGACUUGUGGACAAACUGAAGGAAAGUGAUGUCACAAUACAUACGCUAAAUCAAUCAAUCGCAAACUUAAAGAGCAACAUGGACCAACAGAACCAGGAAUAUUCCAGAUUAACUGUAGCAAAGGAUGUUGAAUUGGAAACGUUGCAUCAACAGGAUGCCAAGAUGUGAUCUGAACUCGUGCAGAGAAAAAAUGAUUUU